rnacentral:snRNA from 1 species
GUGCUCCCUUUGGCAGCACAUAUACUAAAAUUGGAACGAUACAGAGAUUAGCAUGGCCCCUGCUCAAGGAAUACAUCCAAAUUUGUGAAGCGUCCCAUAGUUUU